UUACAGGGCGUCAAUUAAUAUUGCCCAGUAUUUUGACGUAAUUUCCAGACCAAUAACGCCGAAAUUAGCAUCGCCACGAAUAAAAUAUUCCCAGAGGGAAUACACUACCACACGCACUAAAUGGCGUCAUUUUUCACUCUUUUCUUCUCUCUUGCCGAAAUUAAAUUGUUAAUUGAAAAGGGCCAAUCACGGCCGCGACACGUUAGCGUCCUUUUUAAUUAGGCCAAUGAAAUGUCAAUAUUACUCAAGCAUAGGCUCGUUAAAGCUGUUCCAAACGCCGCGCGAUUAUUUAUUUUAGCAGUUGUCAUGACGACGCAGCACGAGCUGCGCGCGCCGCCAUGCGUGAAACAAAACAAAACACUGCCGAAAGUAUCGGGAAGCGAUAUUAACCUCGAACGUAAAACAAUAACAAACAGUUUCAGUUAGUCUGAUAAUACCGUAGUAUUACAAGGGGAUGCCGCCCAUGGUAACGAGACUCUACAGGAAAAUACAGAAAUAUUCUGUUUUGACGGGUUAUUUUGCCACGAAAACUUGGAAAUUCAUAAAUGGGAAUACACUAGAACUGUAUGCCAAACUUGAAGAAAGAGACAAAGAGAUAUUUUAUUUUGACACGGGUGUGAUCGACUGGAUGCAAUUUAGACUUGACUGCACUCUAGGAGUAAGGAAAUACUUGCUACAUGAACCACUCGAUAAUCUACAGGAGGCAAAAUUUCGUUUACGAAUGUUUACUAUAGCCCAUAGAGUGCUGCAAGUUAUUUUUUACGGCGUGGUGCUGUGGACUGGAUGGCGCCUCAUUAAAAUCUCGAGUAUUUACUUACUACAGUAUUUUUAAGAGGGAAUCGUCAAAGCUGAAAUAAACAGAGGUUAUGAGUUAUUUAACCUUUGUAAAAAUAUACUAAAGCUAUGAAUUUAAGGAUACAAUUGUUAUGAUACAUAAUUAUUAAAUAUAAUUUAGCUCUUAAUUAACCUUUGCAAAAAAUUAAACAAAGUUUAUUAUCACAAUAUAUUAUGCGCAAGAUCAUGUAUAUAAUAUUGAAAGUACUCUCAGAAACUAGCAAACAUUUAUCAAAAUCUUUUAUUUAGAAAAAAAUGGGCAAGGGGAUUCCCUUUAUUGUUGCUUGGAUUAAGAAUUGUUUUUGUAGGUUCUUUAGAUUACUGUACGUAAGCAUUUUCAUAAUCAUCUUUAAUACACGCAAUUUCUAUAAUUUACACUUCUUUAUUGUAUAACUGAAUCUUGUCAAAUUGUUGCAUACGAUUGACUCGAAUCUAAUUUUUAAAAGCCUUGUGCUGAUUCUGUACCCGAAGUUGUGGAUACAGAGGAAAAAAAUAUUGUGCGAAAAAAGACAAGUGGUUGUAAAUACUACCACGCGAUCACACGAUGGCUAGUAAGGAAAGUAUAUUUUUUUUUCAAAGUAAUUGUAAUUUAUGAUAUUUCAUUUUAUUUGUAUAUAAAUAAUGAUCAUUGUAAGGCACAUGUGUCAAACCUCUUUUUUUUAAUAUUGC